GACGAACGCUGGCGGCGUGCUUAACACAUGCAAGUCGAACGGAAAGGCCCUGCUUUUGUGGGGUGCUCGAGUGGCGAACGGGUGAGUAACACGUGAGUAACCUGCCCUUGACUUUGGGAUAACUUCAGGAAACUGGGGCUAAUACCGGAUAGGAGCUCCUGCUGCAUGGUGGGGGUUGGAAAGUUUCGGCGGUUGGGGAUGGACUCGCGGCUUAUCAGCUUGUUGGUGGGGUAGUGGCUUACCAAGGCUUUGACGGGUAGCCGGCCUGAGAGGGUGACCGGCGACAUUGGGACUGAGAGACGGCCCAGACUGCUACGGGAGGCAGCGGUGGGGAAUAUUGCACAAUGGGCGGAAGCCUGAUGCAGCAACGCCGCGUGCGGGAUGACGGCCUUCGGGUUGUAAACCGCUUUCGCCUGUGACGAAGCGUGAGUGACGGUAAUGGGUAAAGAAGCACCGGCUAACUACGUG
rnacentral:rRNA from 1 species